rnacentral:rRNA from 1 species
UACGGAGGGUGCAAGCGUUAUCCGGAUUCACUGGUUUAAAGGGUGCGUAGGUGGGUUGGUAAGUCAGUGGUGAAAUCUCCGAGCUUAACUUGGAAACUGCCAUUGAUACUAUCAGUCUUGAAUACCGUGGAGGUCAGCGGAAUAUGUCAUGUAGCGGUGAAAUGCUUAGAUAUGACAUAGAACACCAUUGCGAAGGCAGCUGACUACGCGAAUAUUGACACUGAUGCACGAAAGCGUGGGAUCAACAGG